rnacentral:rRNA from 1 species
UGGGGAAUUUUCCGCAAUGGGCGAAAGCCUGACGGAGCAAUACCGCGUGAGGGAGGAAGGCUCUUGGGUUGUAAACCUCUUUUCUCAGGGAAGAACAGAAUGACGGUACCUGAGGAAUAAGCAUCGGCUAACUCCGUGCCAGCAGCCGCGGUAAUACGGAGGAUGCAAGCGUUAUCCGGAAUGAUUGGGCGUAAAGGGUCCGCAGGUGGCAUUGUAAGUCUGCUGUUAAAGAGUUUGGCUCAACCAAAUAAGAGCAGUGGAAACUACAAAGCUAGAGUGUGGUCGGGGCAGAGGGAAUUCCUGGUGUAGCGGUGAAAUGCGUAGAUAUCAGGAAGAACACCAGUGGCGAAGGCGCUCUGC